rnacentral:rRNA from 1 species
AUGGUCUGUUUUCAUUUCCUCAGUGUUUCAUUUGCUUGUGACCACCUGCACAUGGAUGCUUUUGAUAUGAACUGUCUAUACGUCGAGAGAUAUUUUAAAAUUAUCUGUAGUCCUUUUCUGUGUGAUAUGAGCCCUUUAAAAUGCACGUGUCACUCUCAGCGCAAUAAUUCAUUCUUGCAAGCCAGUUUUCUGUCUAGCUGGUGGAGCUUUGAAGUUCCAUUCAGAAAUAUCUUCUUGACCGGUGCUGCACAUGUUCCAUUCAGAAAUAUCUUCUUGACUGGUGCUGCACAUUUUUGCUUUAGCACGAAUGAGUUAAGACAUGUUGUAUGA